rnacentral:rRNA from 1 species
UGGGUAACCUGCCUCAAAGAGGGGAAUAGCCUCCCGAAAGGGAGAUUAAUACCGCAUAAUAUGUUUAAGUCGCAUGACUUUAACAUCAAAGGAUUUUCUUUUAGAAAUUCCACUUUGAGAUGGACCCGCGGCGCAUUAGU